CUUUUCCAGUGGGGCUUGCAUGCGAGUCACAUAGCAAUAUGUGGCAUACGGCUCAGUAACACGUAGUCAACAUGCCCAGGGGACGUGGAUAACCUCGGGAAACUGAGGAUAAACCACGAUAAGUCACUACUUCUGGAAUGGGUAAUGACUCAAAUCUACAUGGCCCCUGGAUUGGACUGCGGCCGAUCAGGCUGUUGGUGAGGUAAUGGCCCACCAAACCUGUAACCGGUACGGGCUCUGAGAGGAGGAGCCCGGAGAUGGGCACUGAGACAAGGGCCCAGGCCCUAUGGGGCGCAGCAGGCGCGAAACCUCUGCAAUAGGCGAAAGCCUGACAGGGUUACUCUGAGUGAUUUCCGUUAAGGAGAUCUUUUGGCACCUCUAAAAAUGGUGCAGAAUAAGGGGUGGGCAAGUCUGGUGUCAGCCGCCGCGGUAAUACCAGCACCCCGAGUGGUCGGGACGUUUAUUGGGCCUAAAGCAUCCGUAGCCGGUUCUACAAGUCUUCCGUUAAAUCCACCUGCUUAACAGAUGGGCUGCGGAAGAUACUAUAGAGCUAGGAGGCGGGAGAGGCAAGCGGUACUCGAUGGGUAGGGGUAAAAUCCGUUGAUCCAUUGAAGACCACCAGUGGCGAAGGCGGCUUGCCAGAACGCGCUCGACGGUGAGGGAUGAAAGCUGGGGGAGCAAACCGGAUUAGAUACCCGGGUAGUCCCAGCUGUAAACGAUGCAGACUCGGUGAUGAGUUGGCUUUAUGCCAACUCAGUGCCGCAGGGAAGCCGUUAAGUUUGCCGCCUGGGGAGUACGGUCGCAAGACUGAAACUUAAAGGAAUUGGCGGGGGAGCACCACAAGGGGUGAAGCCUGCGGUUCAAUUGGAGUCAACGCCGGG
rnacentral:rRNA from 1 species